rnacentral:rRNA from 1 species
UACGGGGGGGGCAAGCGUUGUUCGGAAUCACUGGGCGUAAAGGGUGCGUAGGUGGCGUGGCAAGUCAGAUGUGAAAGCCCAGGGCUCAACCCUGGAACUGCAUCCGAUACUGCCAUGCUAGAGAACUGAAGAGGAGUGUAGAAUUCUCGGUGUAGCAGUGAAAUGCGUAGAUAUCGAGAGGAAUACCAACGGCGAAGGCAGCACUCUGGGCAGUUUCUGACACUGAGGCACGAAGGCUAGGGGAGCAAACGGG